rnacentral:rRNA from 1 species
GAUGAACGCUGGCGGCGUGCCUAAUACAUGCAAGUCGAGCGAACAGACGAGGAGCUUGCUCCUCUGACGUUAGCGGCGGACGGGUGAGUAACACGUGGAUAACCUACCUAUAAGACUGGGAUAACUUCGGGAAACCGGAGCUAAUACCGGAUAAUAUAUUGAACCGCAUGGUUCAAUAGUGAAAGACGGUUUUGCUUUCACUUAUAGACUGAUCCGCGCCGCAUUAGCUAGUUGGUAAGGUAACGGCUUACCAAGGCGGCGAUGCGUAGCCGACCUGAGAGGGUGGUCGGACACACUGGAACUGAGACACGGUCCAGACUCCUACGGGAGGCAGCAGUAGGGAAUCUUCCGCGAUGGGCGAGAGCCUGACGGAGCAACGCCGCGUGAGUGAUGAAGGUCUUCGGAUCGUAAAGCUCUGUUAUUAGGAGAGAAGAAAUGUGUAAGUAACUGUGCACGUCUUGACGGUACCUAGUGAGAAAGCCACGGCUAACUACGUG